GUCUAUGGGCAUACCACCCUGAACAUGCCCAAUCUUAUCUGAUCUCAGAAGCUAAGCAUGAUUGGGCCUUAUUAGUACUUGGAUGGGAGAAUAAUGUUUAAUUCAGAAAUAAUAAGAAUAGACA
ensembl:rRNA 5S_rRNA 5S ribosomal RNA